rnacentral:rRNA from 1 species
GACGAACGCUGGCGGCGUGCUUAACACAUGCAAGUCGAACGGAAAGGCCCGGCGUUUGUGGGGUGCUCGAGUGGCGAACGGGUGAGUAACACGUGAGUAACCUGCCCUUGACUGUGUGAUAACUUCAGGAAACUGGGGCUAAUACCGGAUAGGAGCUCCUGCUGCAUGGUGGGGGUUGGAAAGUUUCGGCGGUUGGGGAUGGACUCGCGGCUUAUCAGCUUGUUGGUGGGGUAGUGGCUUACCAAGGCUUUGACGGGUAGCCGGCCUGAGAGGGUGACCGGCCACAUUGGGACUGAGAUACGGCCCAGACUCCUACGGGAGGCAGCAGUGGGGAAUCUUGCAGAAUGGGCGGAAGCCUGAUGCAGCAACGCCGCGUGCGGGAUGACGGCCUUCGGGUUGUAAACCGCUUUCGCCUGUGACGAAGCGUGCGUGACGGUAAUGGGUAAAGAAGCACCGGCUAACUACGUG